rnacentral:rRNA from 1 species
GACGAACGCUGGCGGCGUGCUUAACACAUGCAAGUCGAGCGGAAAGGCCCCUUGUGGGUACUCGAGCGGCGAACGGGUGAGUAACACGUGAGUAACCUGCCCUCCACUCCGGGAUAAGCCUGGGAAACCGGGUCUAAUACCGGAUACGACCGUCGUGGGCAUCCGCGGUGGUGGAAAGCGUCUAGUGGUGGGGGAUGGGCUCGCGGCCUAUCAGCUUGUUGGUGGGGUAGUGGCCUACCAAGGCGACGACGGGUAGCCGGCCUGAGAGGGCGACCGG